rnacentral:other from 1 species
AUUAUCCUGAAGUUCGCGUUGAGGCUGUGUAUUUAUCCUUACAGAGCAUACACGGGAAUCCGGAGUUACUUUGCGGCUGCCGGGCCGGCUCAGACCGGAUAGCAAAAGCAAGGUACAGGUAACCCACUUAUCGACAAGAUAAGGUAUGGAUGACAGCCUGACGGUUCUUUGGGAUUUUU